UUAAGUUCAGCGGGUAUUCCUACCUGAUCCGAGGUCAACAUUUCGUGAGUUGGGGUUUUACGGCAGGCCGCCGCCCGGUCCAGUGCGAGGUGAGUUACUACGCAAAGGGAGCCGCAGCGGGACCGCCACUGUAUUUGGGCGGUUGCAGCGCCGCGAGGGCACGCAAUCCGCCAACGCCAAGCAGUGCUUGAGGGUUGAAA
rnacentral:misc_RNA from 1 species